UUUAACUGAGCGUUCAGUUACUUGACGUAGACCCGAAACCGGGCGACCUACCCAUGAGCAGGAUGAAGCGAAAGUAAAAUUUCGUGGAGGUCCGAACCCACGAGCGUUGAAAAGCUCGGGGAUGACUUGUGGGUAGCGGUGAAAUUCCAAUCGAGCCCGGAGAUAGCUGGUUCUCCCCGAAAUAGCUUUAGGGCUAGCCUCAAGGUGAGAGAUACGGAGGUAGAGCACUGAAUGUCCUAGGGGGUAUUGCACCUACCGAAGACUAUCAAACUCCGAAUGCCGUCAUCUUAUACUUGGGAGUCAGACUGUGGGUGAUAAGAUUCAUAGUCGAAAGGGCAACAGCCCAGAUCGUCAGCUAAGGUCCCUAAAUGUAAGUUAAGUGGUAAAGGAUGUGGGAUUGCACAGACAACCAGGAUGUUGGCUUAGAAGCAGCCACUCAUUCAAAGAGUGCGUAAUAGCUCACUGGUCGAGUGAUCCUGCGCCGAAGAUUUCCGGGGCUAAAACUUACUACCGAAGCUACGGCAUCAGUAAUGAUGGGUAGGGGAGCUUCCCAUACGGGUUGAAGCAUGACCGUAAGGACAUGUGGACAGUAUGGGAGUGAGAAUGUUGGCAUGAGUAGC
rnacentral:rRNA from 1 species